rnacentral:tRNA from 3 species
GCUGCGGUGGCCUAGCUGGUUAGGGCGCCAGACUCAUAAUCUGGAGGUCGCGGGUUCGGAUCCCGUCCGCAGCA